ensembl:snoRNA small nucleolar RNA, H/ACA box 20
CUUCCCAUUGAUUUGCUGCCACGAUCUCGCGGUGACGUGAGCAGUUAUACGCAUGGGAUACAGCAACCCCAGGCCACUGCGAACUGGGCCGGGCGGCCUCCCUCCUGCCUCUCUCUCCCACGCGUGGUCUGGACAUCU